CUAUGGAGUAUGAAAUCUGGCGAAUUACUAUUCGAAGAUAAAUUCAUGGAUACGAUCCCCACAGUUGUACGCUGGCCAAAAACUGAAGGAGUGGGGAAACAUAUGCAAGGUGCAUGGCUUGGAUCUGAAGAAGGGUUGUUUUUCAUGGACUGGCCUUGAGGCUUGUGUUCUUGGUGAUUUCUUACUUGGAGUAUCUAGAACUUUGCACAUACGUCUAUCACCUGAAGAUGAAUUGAUACAGACAGACAGUAGGCUUCGUCGGCAUUAAUGAAAUCGAGUUUAGGUGAAACUAGGAGCUGAGACUGAAAAUCUUGGCUUGCCUCAAAGAGCUUCUUCCUUCCGAUAUUAUGGAACUUACAGAAGAGUAGCCCUCUAGAACUGAAAUAUCCAGGAUUGUAGGUUUCAACUGAAACAGAGUGUUGUCGAAUUUGUUUAUUAGAUUUAUUUUAUUUUAGUUGCUUUGGCUGAUUAUAUAUCUUCUGGUAUUUUAUGACCUGAAGCAUUGUUUAUAUUGUUGGCUUGUCAAGCAUAGGCAGCUUAGCGUUCA